UACGGAGGGGGCUAGCGUUGUUCGGAAUUACUGGGCGUAAAGCGCGCGUAGGCGGCUUUGUAAGUUAGAGGUGAAAGCCCGGGGCUCAACCCCGGAACUGCCUUUAAGACUGCAUCGCUUGAAUCCAGGAGAGGUGAGUGGAAUUCCGAGUGUAGAGGUGAAAUUCGUAGAUAUUCGCAAGAACACCAGUGGCGAAGGCGGCUCACUGGCCCGGUACUGACGCUGAGGUGCGAAAGCGUGGGGAGCAAACAGG
rnacentral:rRNA from 1 species